ensembl:lncRNA
CCGCCGGCAGGCUGGAAACUAGCUACUGCGGUAGCAGUUGCUCUCUGAAGCCGCAAGGUAGGGGCGAUCGUCUGCCGCUGCCAGGAGAGCGGACGAUGCGGAGAGAACGAAAGUGAGAGGGCGUGAGGAGUGGGGGGAACUGACAGACUGACGGACCCAGCGGCGAGAAUUGAUGGCGUGUGUGUCGGAAGCGGGCGGGUAACUGUAGGUGUUGAGAUGUGUGACUCUUCUGCAUAGUGUUUGGGAAUGGAAGAGGCAGCAAGCAGAUGAAUGGAGGGUAAAAUCAGCAGGAUGAAAAAGUGUUGUCGGCUGGGCACCAGCACAUGUGAAUCGUACCUAUACAGGAUGACUCUCCUUCCCCCUCCCCCACCCCGCGUCCCUGACCAGGAGUUGAACCCGCGCCGCAGCAGCGACCGGAAGCGCCGCAAAGACAGCGUCGGAUCCCCAUCCUGCGCCACAGGCGAACUCCCAGGAUGAUUUUAUUAGGCCCCUGAUUUCAGAUUCAGUUUUUAAUGAGUUGACUCCCUUUAACAGAUAGCAACUACUUGCUCUGUGCUGGGUACUGGACUAGAGGCUCUAUGAGGAGAAAAAUUAACCUUUAUUCUUGAUAGUUACAGCAUGUCAGUUACUAUAUGUGUUUGGAGGCAGGCAAUUAUAAUACAAGGAUAUAGACAUGGAUGCAUCUCAUUUUUUAAAAACCUCCUGAGGGUGCCAUUUGGAAUAACCUUUGAUGUAGUGAUUUGACAUAUAUUUUGAAGGUAAAAUAAGCAAGGAAAACUAUGUGCAGUUUUCUCUCGGCAUGCUCCCUUCCUUUUUAGCUCAGGUGAAGCUACCUAGAGAACUGAGUUGGACUUAAAGCCCAAACUAGUUUAUUCCCAGUGAGAGCAUUUGCCCAUCACAGUGGCACUUCCAGGACUCCUGAUGGAAAGUCAUUCUUACCCAAGAGCAAGACCUCCCCUUGCAUGCAUAGCCUGCAGGUUCUAGGUAGGCCUAUAGUGCAGGAGUCAAGGGCUCUCUGGCUUAAGCAUUUGAAACACUGCUGUGUUGGCGCUUUGGUUUUCUAGCAAACUCAGUUCAUAGCAGGGACUUGUGCAUUUACCUGGAAUCCUAAGCAAUAAAAAAUUUUAAAUCAUCAAACCUGCUGCUUUGUUUACCAGAGAAAUAGCAGUAUAGAAGACAGUCUAAGUGUUUCUCAAACUUUCCUGUGCAUCAGAAUCAGCGGUCGGGGGANNNNNNNNNNNNNNGAGGGGGGGCUUCUUAAAACACAGAUUGCUGGGUUCCACCACAGAGUUGCUGAUUCAGUGGUUCUGAGGUAGACCCACAGAUUUACAUUUCUAACAAGUUUCCAGAAGAUGCCAAUACUGUUGAUUCUGGACUGCACUUGGAGAACUACUGAUCUAAACAGAACUGAGAUUAGUAAACCAGAAAGGACAUCUCUAGGGAAUACUAGGCACACUCCCACAGGUUAGACAAGUCUAAAUUAAGUCACAGUAGAUAUGAAAUAACAUGGAUGUGUUUUUGUUGUUCAUUUGUAUAUUUUGAAUGGAGGAGCAAAGAUGAAUCUUCCUGAACUAAACAAAGUAAGGUUUGCACCAGUUUUUCUUCACUCCUAGAGUUCAGCAUUCCUUAAAUUGUUUAAAAAACGAAGUAGUUAUUUUCUUUUCAGAUCCCUUUCUGAGUUAUAUUCAAGUAACUAGGUAUUUACAGAGCUCAUACCUUCACUUGUAUCAUCACCAAAAAAAUGAGGUGUUCCUAAAUUCUGGUAGUAAAUUGUGUUUGAAGUUACAAAAUGAAAAGGUAAUUGGAACAAUCAACACGGAAGGAUUAGUAUAAGGAGCCAGAAUUGAGAUGGUGUGAUGAGUAGUUUUAUUUUUUUUCACCCGCAAUGAAACCCCUCCCUCUUCAGAAGGAAUAAUCAGUUUAUUUACUUUAGAGCACAGAGGGAACCAAAAAUCUUACUGUGUCAGAGAAUAACGUGAAACCUUCCUUUUGGGAUUGGCCUAAACAGUCUAUAUCCCCAGUUCUGCAUACCCUCCAAACCCUCCCACAAGCCUGAAAAAGACCAGGACACAUUUUCAGAAAUGUCACUAAUCAGUCUAGACACAUCAGUGCUGGAUUCCACAUCUCCCCCCCAGGCCAGUUACAAAACAAAAUGAAUAAAAUACCCAAACCAAAAGUGCAGACACAUAAAACAUACACAAAAGAGUCCAAAUAACCUGGCCUAAGUUUACUGUGAAUCUUUUCAGGGGUAAGCAAAAUGCUAGGAAGACCAGUGCCGUAGAUGUUUCAGAAAUCUAAGGGUCUGUGAUAGUCACAUUUCAAGGAAAUCAGCAGGACACUAUAGGGGAGGAAAACGUUUAACCCAACCCUCUUAGGGUUCCUGGCUGGGUCUGAAAAUGCAACUGAAAAAGUCAGGUUAACAGGAGAGAAGUGUGCAAGUGUAUUUAAUGGAAGUUUUAUGUGACACAAGGCCCAUCAUAGGGAAAUGAAGACCCAAAGAAACAGAGCUGAGCAUUUUAUGCUAGGUUUGAUGAAGAGUGGGAAGUCAUGGAGAAAUAUGACAAAUUAAAGAGUAUGAAGGAAGUGUAGUCAACUGGGGGAGACUUUCUCUGUGUCUCUUUGUAUUUGGAGAUAAAGAUGUUCCUUUCCUCUAGAUAUAGGGAGGGGACCUCACAUGAGGGUUUUAUGACCUGUUUCAGAGGAGAAGAGUUAUGAGAGGUCAGCUGAUCUUCCUGCUUCUGCCAUUUACUCAAACUCUUUCAGCUUUAAAAUAUUCAGUACGCCGGAGUUCCCGUCGUGGCUCAGCAGUAUCUAGUAUCCAUGAGGACUCGGGUUCAAUCCCUGGCUUUGCUCAGUGGGUUAAGGAUCCAAUGUUGCCAUAAGCUGUGGUGUAGACUAUAGACGCAGCUCAGAUCUGGCGUUGCUGUGGCUCUGGCCAGCAGCUACAGCUCUGAUUCUAUCCCUAGCUUGGGAACUUCCAUAUGCCAUGAGUG